rnacentral:rRNA from 1 species
AAUCCAUAGGUUAAUGAGGCGAACCGGGGGAACUGAAACAUCUAAGUACCCCGAGGAAAAGAAAUCAACCGAGAUUCCCCCAGUAGCGGCGAGCGAACGGGGAGGAGCCCAGAGCCUGAAUCAGCAUGUGUGUUAGUGGAAGCGUCUGGAAAGGCGCGCGAUACAGGGUGACAGCCCCGUACACAAAAGCGCAUGUGCUGUGAGCUCGAUGAGUAGGGCGGGACACGUGGUAUCCUGUCUGAAUAUGGGGGGACCAUCC